CCUACGGGAGGCUGCAGUGAGGAAUAUUGGUCAAUGGACGCAAGUCUGAACCAGCCAAGUAGCGUGCAGGAUGACGGCCCUCCGGGUUGUAAACUGCUUUUAGUUGGGAAUAAAAGGGGGCUCGUGAGCCCCGUAUUGUAUGUACCAUCAGAAAAAGGACCGGCUAAUUCCGUGCCAGCAGCCGCGGUAAUACGGAAGGUCCGGGCGUUAUCCGGAUUUAUUGGGUUUAAAGGGAGCGUAGGCCGGCUUUUAAGUCAGCUGUGAAAGUCCGCGGCUCAACCGUGGAAUUGCAGUUGAAACUGGAGGCCUUGAGUACAGUAGAGGUGGGCGGAAUUCGUGGUGUAGCGGUGAAAUGCUUAGAUAUCACGAAGAACUCCGAUUGCGAAGGCAGUUCACUGGACUGCAACUGACACUGAGGCUCGAAAGUGUGGGUAUCAAACAGGAUUAGAUACCCCAGUAGUC
rnacentral:rRNA from 1 species